GUACCCUUAGCUCAGUUGGAUAGAGCAUCAGAUUGCGGAUCUGAAGGUCGGAGGUUCGAAUCCUCUAGGGUACG
rnacentral:tRNA from 1 species